GCGGAUAUUGCCGAGCGGUCAAAGGCGCUAGCUUGAGGUGCUAGUCUCUAGGAGUUCAUGGGUUCAAAUCCCAUUAUCCGCA
rnacentral:tRNA from 1 species